CACAACCACACGAACGGAACGCCUAUGUGCACAAGGAUCGCACGAUGAGCGCUGGUCGUCACACACGCACGCACACGUUUCUCACGGUGAAAAAUGACAGCAUUGUUUAAUGCACCACGAGAUAGAGGAACGGAGCGACAGUCGGGGAGGGACGAUAUCGAGUGAGCGAGAGCCGCAUCCUUUUUUUCGCCUUCCGUGGGUGGCCCCGGAGGUGAGACUGUAAACGAAAACCCUAAUGCUGCUGCUGCUGCUGCUGCUGUUACGGCUCUCCGCUUUGGAUAGAAAUAAUAGCCAUUAGCCCGGGCGAGGAUAAACAUACAUUGCGGUCGUCGUGAUCUGACUGAUGGUGUGUGUGCUGCGUGCGGGUGGGUGGUAGUGGACGAGGAUUUACGUGCGCAACUUCAGAAUUUCAUUUCUGUUUCUGCUGCUCGUCAACCAAACCAACAAUAAUAGCGUCGUGUUAUGAAUACUGUAAUGAGUGUGAAGUGUUUAUGUGUGUUCGAUGUUCUUCCGAUCAAUAUGGCAAAAUGUCACUAACGCAAGUACAACACCAUGGUAUUAUUCAAUGUUUACAUUAUAUGGAAAACAGCUUUUUCCCGAAGCUUGUUGUUGAUCUCGUAUCUGCAGAAGAACACCUGGUGUAUUGGAAUUCUCUUUCUACUAUUAAUUUUUGUUUAUUUGAAAAAUAAAAAUAAAU